AUCNUUAAUUAUGUUAAAGCGCCUUACCUUAGGNUUUCCUCUGGGGUAAGUGAUUGCUUCUACACUGUGAAAAUUUGGCUGAGAGACUCAGACUGNUCAUGGGUAGACCUAUCUGGGGUUUGAUCGAUGCCACUCCUGGUUUCAGGAGCACCCUUCAUAAUAAACCUAGAAAUUCAGUAUUAUAAAGUUUAAUAAAAAACAACUUUUAACAAUGGAUCUCUUGGUUCUCGCAUCGAUGAAGAACGUAGCAAAGUGCGAUAACUAGUGUGAAUUGCAUAUUCAGUGAAUCAUCGAGUCUUUGAACGCAGCUUGCACUCUAUGGUUUUUCUAUAGAGUACGCCUGCUUCAGUAUCAUCACAAACCCACACAUAACAUUUGUUUAUGUGGUAAUGGGUCGCAUCGCUGUUUUAUUACAGUGAGCACCUAAAAUGUGUGUGAUUUUCUGUCUGGCUUGCUAGGCAGGAAUAUUACGCUGGUCUCAGGAUCUUUUUCUUUGGUUCGCCCAGGAAGUAAAGUACAAGAGUAUAAUCCAGCAACUUUCAAACUAUGAUCUGAAGUCAGGUGGGAUUACCCGCUGAACUUAAGCAUAUCAAUAAGCGGAGGAAAAGAAAAUAACAAUGAUUUCCCUAGUAACGGCGAGUGAAGAGGAAAGAGCUCAAAGUUGGAACCUGUUUGGCCUAGCUAAWCCGGAUUGUAGACUGUAGAAGUGUUU
rnacentral:rRNA from 1 species